CAGCAGCCGCGGUAAAACGUAGGUGGCAAGCGUUGUCCGGAAUUAUUGGGCGUAAAGGGCUCGCAGGCGGUUUCUUAAGUCUGAUGUGAAAGCCCCCGGCUCAACCGGGGAGGGUCAUUGGAAACUGGGAAACUUGAGUGCAGAAGAGGAGAGUGGAAUUCCACGUGUAGCGGUGAAAUGCGUAGAGAUGUGGAGGAACACCAGUGGCGAAGGCGACUCUCUGGUCUGUAACUGACGCUGAGGAGCGAAAGCGUGGGGAGCGAACAGGAUUAGAUACCCGAGUAGUCCCUGUCUCUUAUAC
rnacentral:rRNA from 1 species